AUGGUGUUGAUCCGGUCCUUGCUGCUGGAUCCGGCCCUCUCCACUCCUCCUCUCGGUCCGAUCCAAUGGAGACCACACGACGUCGACCUCCCGGAUGGCGUGAGGUCCCAGUGGCAACGUCAGGCCCCUUGCGGUUGGGGUCGAUUUGAGGUGGCUCUGGUGGAAACAUGGACCACGUCACACUGUUACAGGGGCUCCCGAGGCGACAUCCAGUUGCUCCGUGCGCGGGGAUUAUUUUCACCUCUGUUUACUGUUGCGUUUAUUUUGCAGGCCAAAAACAGUGGGCAACCUCGACGUCGUCGUCACUUCGAGCGCGGCGAGAUCCUCGAGGUCGUCGUCAUCACAGACAAGGGCACUGGCAGAUCCAAUGGCGGCGGAUUCGAGGCGGAGGCGGCCAUUAGGGCAUGCUUGAGUCCGUACCCGAUGAUUGGUGGCCGAAGGGCAACUGCAACCUCGCAUGCCUCGGGUCCAGAGGUCCAAGGCACCACAACCAACUGCUCUUCAGACAUAUGA
rnacentral:rRNA from 1 species